GAUGAACGCUGGCGGCGUGCCUAAUACAUGCCAGUCGAGCGAACAGACGAGGAGCUUGCUCCUCUGACGUUAGCGGCGGACGGGUGAGUAACACGUGGAUAACCUACCUAUAAGACUGGGAUAACUUCGGGAAACCGGAGCUAAUACCGGAUAAUAUAUUGAACCGCAUGGUUCAAUAGUGAAAGACGGUUUUGCUGUCGCUUAUAGAUGGAUCCGCGCCGCAUUAGCUAGUUGGUAAGGUAACGGCUUACCAAGGCAACGAUGCGUAGCCGACCUGAGAGGGUGAUCGGCCACACUGGAACUGAGACACGGUCCAGACUCCUACGGGAGGCAGCAGUAGGGAAUCUUCCGCAAUGGGCGAAAGCCUGACGGAGCAACGCCGCGUGAGUGAUGAAGGUCUUCGGAUCGUAAAACUCUGUUAUUAGGGAAGAACAAAUGUGUAAGUAACUAUGCACGUCUUGACGGUACCUAAUCAGAAAGCCACGGCUAACUACGUG
rnacentral:rRNA from 1 species